AUUGAACGCUGGCGGAAUGCUUUACACAUGCAAGUCGAACGGCAGCACGGGGCAACCUGGUGGCGAGUGGCGAACGGGGGAGUAAUACAUCGGAAUGUGCCCAAUAGUGGGGGAUAACGUAGCGAAAGUUACGCUAAUACCGCAUACGAUCUACGGAUGAAAGCGGGGGAUCGCAAGACCUCGCGCGAAUGGAGCGGCCGAUGUCAGAUUAGGUAGUUGGUGGGGUAAAGGCUAACCAAGCCGACGAUCUGUAGCUGGUCUGAGAGGACGACCAGCCACAUUGGGACUGAGACACGGCCCAGACUCCUACGGGAGGCAGGAGUGGGGAAUUUUGGACAAUGGGCGCAAGCCUGAUCCAGCCAUUCCGCGUGCAGGAUGAAGGCCUUCGGGUUGUAAACUGCUUUUGUACGGAGCGAAAAGGCUCUCUCUAAUACAGGGGGCUCAUGACGGUACCGUAAGAAUAAGCACCGGCUAACUACGUGCCAGCCGCCGCCGUAACAC
rnacentral:rRNA from 1 species